rnacentral:lncRNA from 1 species
AAUGGCAGAAUGACAUCCCCCAUUUGGCCCGCUGGAAAUGCCCACCAUCUUUUGGGAAGAUUUACUGGCUGUUUAUAGAAUGCCUGCCUAUAUAAUAUGAAAAAGCUGCUCUCAACUUCUCCCCCAAAACCUUUUAAAAGAAAACAUUUGCCACAUCCAGCCCUUCUAGAGUAAAGAGGUUGCCAACGUAUGAAGUAGAGUUAGAAAAUCACACACCUUGCAAAUUCUCAUUAGUUUAAAAAGAAGUCAUAGAAAAUGUCUUCUGGAGUUGACUUUUUGAAAUGGAGUUAUUAGACCACUUCUGGAAGCAACACGUCCACGUUUGUUCAAUGGGCUAGAGGACAUGGAGCAGAAGACCUGAGAAGGAAAAGAAGCUCCCCACCGUAAGAUAUAUAAGGUGUGAGAAAAUGUGAAGUUGGAGAGGGAAUUUAAUGACAUCAGAAGACAGUCCAAUUUCAGUUAAUGUAAGACGGUUAGAAAAAUGUUGGACAGGAAAAAGGUGAGAAUAAUGGGGAGCUUUUAUAUGCAUACAUCAUCAUAAGUGAAGAAUUUAGGAAGAAAGGGUGUGGUAGGAUCAGCAGAACUAGUAAGGUUCUGUGUGUCAUUAGGUAACUGAGAUUUCAGGGGAUAAUGAAUUACCAAAAGGCCUACGGUAACUAAGGUAGAGUUACAAAAGGAAACUCUAACUGAAGUUGCAAUUUUAAAUACUACUCAAAUGCAUAUGAAAGAAAGAAAGCUAUAUUGAAGUGCCAGUAGAACGUAUGUCUGAAACUCUCCCCUUUCUGCCUGAAGUUAGAAGACUACAUGUUGAAAGUUUGCUUUGAGCUUGGUUCUUCUUGAACAUGCAGCUUCAAAUCAAUGUCUGUCUGCUCAUAAGUUCAACCAAACCAGGAGGGGCCAGAUGCCAGUGACAUUUUCUUGGACUUCCCAGCCUUUAGAACCAUGAUCCAAAUAAACUUGUAUUGU